rnacentral:misc_RNA from 1 species
GAUGAAGAACGUAGCGAAAUGCGAUACGUAAUGUGAAUUGCAGAAUUCAGUGAAUCAUCGAAUCUUUGAACGCAUAUUGCGCUCUCUGGUAUUCCGGAGAGCAUGCUUGUUUGAGUAUCAGUAAACACCUCAACUUCCAUAUCUUUUUUGAAAUGGGAGUUGGACUUGAGUGAUCCCAACGCUUUUCCUCACCGAAAAGUGGCGGGUUACUUGAAAUGCAGGUGCAGCUGGACUUUUCUCUGAGCUAUAAGCAUAUCUAUUUAGUCUGCCUAAAAAACAGAUUAUUACCUUUGCUGCAGCUAACAUAAAGGAGAUUAGUUCUUGUGCUGACUGAUGCAGGAUUCACAAAGACGGCUUCGGCCGACUUUGUAAACUCGAUCUCAAAUCAAGUAUGACUACCCGCUGAACUUAAGCAUAUCAAUAAGCGGAGGA